rnacentral:rRNA from 1 species
UUGAACGCUGGCGGCAUGCCUUACACAUGCAAGUCGAACGCGAAAGGGGGCAACCCUGAGUAGAGUGGCGAACGGGUGAGUAAUGCAUCGGAACGUGUCCUGUAGCGGGGGACAACCCCGAGAAAUCGGGGCUAAUACCGCAUACGUCCUACGGGAGAAAGUGGGGACCGCAAGGCCUCACACUAUAGGGGCGGCCGAUGCCGGAUUAGCUAGUUGGUGAGGUAAGAGCUCACCAAGGCAACGAUCCGUAGCUGGUCUGAGAGGAUGAUCAGCCACACUGGGACUGAGACACGGCCCAGACUCCUACGGGAGGCAGCAGUGGGGAAUUUUGGACAAUGGGCGCAAGCCUGAUCCAGCCAUGCCGCGUGAGUGAAGAAGGCCUUCGGGUUGUAAAGCUCUUUCGGCCGGGACGAAAUCGCUCUCGCCAAUACCGGGAGUGGAUGACGGUACCGGAAUAAGAAGCACCGGCUAACUACGU